rnacentral:rRNA from 1 species
AGUGAACGCUGGCGGUAGGCCUAACACAUGCAAGUCGAACGGCAGCACAGUAAGAGCUUGCUCUUACGGGUGGCGAGUGGCGGACGGGUGAGGAAUACAUCGGAAUCUACUUUUUCGUGGGGGAUAACGUAGGGAAACUUACGCUAAUACCGCAUACGACCUACGGGUGAAAGCAGGGGAUCUUCGGACCUUGCGCGAUUGAAUGAGCCGAUGUCGGAUUAGCUAGUUGGCGGGGUAAAGGCCCACCAAGGCGACGAUCCGUAGCUGGUCUGAGAGGAUGAUCAGCCACACUGGAACUGAGCCACGGUCCAGGCUCCUACGGGAGGCAGCAGUGGGGAAUAUUGGACAAUGGGCGCAAGCCUGAUCCAGCCAUACCGCGUGGGUGAAGAAGGCCUUCGGGUUGUAAAGCCCUUUUGUUGGGAAAGAAAAGCAGCAGGUUAAUACCCCGCUGUUCUGACGGUACCCAAAGAAUAAGCACCGGCUAACUUCGUG